AACGAACGCUGGCGGCAGGCUUAACACAUGCAAGUCGAGCGAGAUCUUCGGAUCUAGCGGCGGACGGGUGAGUAACGCGUGGGAACGUGCCCUUUGCUACGGAAUAGUCCCGGGAAACUGGGUUUAAUACCGUAUGUGCCCUACGGGGGAAAGAUUUAUCGGCAAAGGAUCGGCCCGCGUUGGAUUAGGUAGUUGGUGGGGUAAUGGCCUACCAAGCCGACGAUCCAUAGCUGGUUUGAGAGGAUGAUCAGCCACACUGGGACUGAGACACGGCCCAGACUCCUACGGGAGGCAGCAGUGGGGAAUCUUAGACAAUGGGGGCAACCCUGAUCUAGCCAUGCCGCGUGAGUGAUGAAGGCCUUAGGGUUGUAAAGCUCUUUCAGCUGGGAAGAUAAUGACGGUACCAGCAGAAGAAGCCCCGGCUAACUCCG
rnacentral:rRNA from 1 species